rnacentral:sRNA from 1 species
GCGUUAGGAGAACGUUUCGCCAUUUCCUUGGAUGUCUCUUACAAGUUGCACCUCAUUUCCUG